rnacentral:rRNA from 1 species
GGUAAGUCGGGGCCUAAGGCGAGGUCGAAAGACGUAGCCGAUGGACAACAGGUUGAAAUUCCUUACUGCAGUAUAACAGAACUGUGGGGACACGUAUGGAGAGCACAGCCGCGGAAUGGAAAGCCGCGGGCAAGCGGGGUAGGAGUCACAUAGGCAAAUCCGUGUGGCAAUCCGAAGACGUGAUGCGGACCGAACUUUAGUAGGGAAGUGUGUGAGCCAGGCGUCAAGAAAAGCCGCUAUUGUUUAUACUGUACCCGUACCGUAAACCGACA